rnacentral:lncRNA from 1 species
GAGUAGCUGGGACCACAGUCAGUAUUACAAAGGGAUUGAACAAUUUGGAAGAGUUGGGACUGCUAAAAUAUUUCAGGGAGCAUGCAAUGCAUUCUUGCAAUAAGAGGCAAAACAUCACACAAUGUCAAGAGAAUGCCCCUCUCUAUUUUGUGAAAGGCAAGUUCAAAGAUUUUCUGAAUAAUCACCAAGGAUACCUAGCAAUUAUGAUACGGUUUCUUUUCAGGGGCAAAAGCAACAAGCCUUGUGCCAUGGAUAUAUUUGUAGCUAAUUAUUUGUUACAUAACAUGAUAUGAUAUAAAUCAGAUUGGGGUAUAAAAUUUUCACAGAAUGUAUUCAGAAAGGCCCACUCUUAUACAUUCAGGGCUUUGGUGCCCCAUAUUGUUGAAAGGUUGCAGGGAAUUGACUCAUUAACUGAAUACCACUUCACCCCAUGGGUCAGUUGACUUUAGUGGAUUACGAACAACUUGAGAAUUAAUCACAGUAAACAAAGUGAGUGGAAUUUUCACUCCCCUUGACUCUACUUUCAUGGUUCUUUGCCCUCUGUUAUUAGGUAUUGUGUGGGUUUUAUUCAAAGUUGUAUAUGUGUCAACCUCCCCCUCAGGAUCAUACAAAAUCAGGGACGAUGUUCUACCAGUAUUUUCUUUAUCAGAGGCUUUUGUAUGUUACCUUGUACAGACAGUCGUUGACUUAUCAUGGUUCGAUUUAAAUUUUUCAGCUUUACAGUGCUGUGAAAGCAAUACAUGUAAGUAGAAACUGUACUUCAGGGACCCAUACAACCAUUCAGUUUUUCAUUUUCAGUAUAGUAUUCAAAAAAUUACAUGAGAUAUUCAAUACUUUAUCACAAAAUAGGUUUUGUGUUAGAUGAUUUUUCCAACCAUAGGCUAAUAUAAAUGUUCUGCACAUGUUUAGGGUAGGCUAGGCUAAGCUAUGAUGUUUGGUAGGUUAGGUGUAUUAAAUGCAUUUUCAACUUACGGCAUUUUCAAUGUAUGAUGGGUUUAUCAGAAGGUAACCACAUCAUAAGUGGAAGAGCACCUGUACAUACAAAUGCCUCAAUAAAUGUUUAUUGGAUUAAUUGAUUGGGGGUUGAAAGAUAUGAAGGAGUCAAGAAUGAUUACAUUUCAGGCAAAAUACAUUGACUGGGCAAUUGACACAAAGAUGGGGUAAGAUAAAUGCAUUCUGGUACCAUUUAGAGCAGAUUUAAUAUCAUUCACAUUAUUUAGGAGCAAGUGAAAAUGGCCCUUUGGUGUCCUUUUACCCUUCCCUCUCUUGUUCUCUUCAUCUUUAAGCUUUGUACUCGUGGAAAUAAUUGACUAUUGAGUUUCUGAGGCUGCAGGAAAUGCUUAGAAAUGACUGAACCCGUAAUCCAAGUGAGCCGAGAGACCUUUGGAAGAAAUAUUUUUUACUCAUUUUUUUUUGAGACAGGGUCUCGCUCUAUUGUGCAGGCUGGAGUGCAGUGGCACAAUCAGGGCUCAUGGCAGCCUCUUCCUCCUGGACUCAAGUGAUCCUCCAAUCUCAGCCUCCUGAGUAGCUAAGACUUACAGGCAAGCACCACCACGCCUGGCUGAUUUUUACUUCUUUAUUUUCUGUACAGAUAGGGUCUUCCUAAGUUGCCCAGACCGGUCUCAAACUCCUGAGCUCAGUCAAUCCUCCCACCUCGGCCUCCUAAAGUGCUGGGAUAAUAGGCAUGAGCCACUGUGACAGACCUAUCCAUGCUUUUUUUUUUUUUUAAGUUAUUUUUUACUUAAUCGUAGCUACUAAACUGUUUCGGAAAAGUUUGAGCCGUAUUUCUACGAGAACAGCAACCUGCUAAAAGCAUUGCCAGAAAGUCAGACCCCUUCCCCACCCCUGCCCAAACCCCCCGCUCCCCCCUGGGCCCCAGGUCCUUAGGGGUCUUGCUAGUGUCAGCCCUGGCCCCUCACCUUGUUUCUGUGUGGAGUUAAGGAAUGUUUCCUGAAAGAAGAUGUAAAUAAUUAGGGAGAUUCUUCCUUCUCUUUCCACCUAUUCCUCCUUACCCCAGACAAUCCACUAACACCUUCUAGAGCAACAGAAAUUUAAAAUUAACAACUGACGCCAACUUCAUGGAGUCACAGGCCAAAAUUUCAUGCAUAAAAACAAUACAUCAAGUUCCCAGAGCACUUCCAGAUAAUUAUUAGAAAAAUGUUUCCUUUACCUUAUUACUAGGACCACUCAGUCCCUAUAAAUAGGAUUCCAUUCAAAAAAAAUCACUGAAAGGCAGGCGCAGUAGUGUGCACCUGUAGUCUGAGCUACUAGAGAGGCUGAGGCAGGAGGAUUGCUUGAGGCCAGGAGUUCUAGACUGUCCUGUGCUAUGAUCAUGCCACUGGACUCCAGGUUGGGAGACAUAGGGAGGCGUGUCUUUAACCAAACAAACAAGCAAAAACAAUCAUCAUUUCCAAGUAGGAAGUGUAAUGUGAGCUGUAGUGCCCUGCCUAGGUCCCUAGCAUCAUUUCAGGACUAAGGGACUCAUUCCACAGCUGCUGGGAAUGCUGGUACUGACAAUUUCCACCUGAGAGAGUCACAUGGUGCAACUGGGCCAAUCCAAUGCUUUCUUCUGGGAAUCUGGAAAAAGGCUUGAGAAAGUUAAUCUCUGCCUGAUACAUGUGGCGAGUGUGAGGGGCCUCAGCCUGCCUAGUGGACUUGAGAAGGAGCAAAACAUGGUCCCAGAAGACAAAAAUGAAGGUAUUGUGAAAGAAGCCAAGAUGAGAGAAGAACCAACUACAUAAUUUGUUACAUCCAAUGCAAAAUGAAAGGCAGAGCCCCUUGUUCAAAAAGCAGGACAAAAGUACUUUUAAGGAACUAAAAUAUAAAGCUCUUUCCUUUCUUCCAUGGUCUUUCAGUUUGUUCUGGUGUGUUUUAUUUGCUAUUUGAUGCUAUUCCAGGUAAAGAAAAAUUGAAAUUCGAUUUUCAGCAAGAAACGGGGUCUUGCUGUAUCACCCAGGAUGAUCUCGAACUCCUGUUCUCAAGCGAUCCUUCUGCCUCGGCCUCGGGAAGUGCUGGGAUUACAGGCGUGAGCCACUGCGCCUGGCCUAAAAAAAAUUUUUUUAAUUAAAAUUAUUAGUAUACAUUUUACCAUUUGUCUUGUGCAAAGUCAAUCUUUCUUCUUUCUUCCAGGGGGGACGCUUGAAUUG